rnacentral:rRNA from 1 species
CGGACGGGUGAGUAAUGUCUGGGAAACUGCCUGAUGGAGGGGGAUAACUACUGGAAACGGUAGCUAAUACCGCGUAACGUCGCAAGACCAAAGUGGGGGACCUUCGGGCCUCAUGCCAUAAGAUGUGCCCAGAUGGGAUUAGCUAGUAGGUGGGGUAACGGCUCACCUAGGCGACGAUCCCUAGCUGGUCUGAGAGGAUGACCAGCCACACUGGAACUGAGACACGGUCCAG